AUUGAACGCUGGCGGCAGGCCUAACACAUGCAAGUCGAGCGGAUGAGGAGAGCUUGCUCUCUGAUUUAGCGGCGGACGGGUGAGUAAUGCCUAGGAAUCUGCCUGGGAGUGGGGGAUAACGUUCCGAAAGGAACGCUAAUACCGCAUACGUCCUACGGGAGAAAGAAGGGGACCUUCGGGCCUUGCCCUAUCAGCUGAGCCUAGGUCGGAUUAGCUAGUUGGUGAGGUAAUGGCUCACCAAGGCGACGAUCCGUAACUGGUCUGAGAGGAUGAUCAGUCACACUGGAACUGAGACACGGUCCAGACUCCUACGGGAGGCAGCAGUGGGGAAUAUUGGACAAUGGGCGAAAGCCUGAUCCAGCCAUGCCGCGUGUGUGAAGAAGGUCUUCGGAUUGUAAAGCACUUUCAGUUGGGAGGAAGGGUUGUAGAUUAAUACUCUGCAAUUUUGACGUUACCAACAGAAUAAGCACCGGCUAACUUCGUGCCAGCCGCCGCGGUAAGAC
rnacentral:rRNA from 1 species